AACAUUAUGUCUUUAGCUUUUUUUCGCAUCUUUUUUUACUUUAGCACCUGAAUUCAGGGGGCUUUGCGCGUAAGAAAAGAAACGAAAAGUAGCGCCUGAGCCUCCGUUGUGGAGGCUUUUUUGUU
rfam:Photorhabdus luminescens subsp. laumondii TTO1 complete genome; segment 9/17